rnacentral:rRNA from 1 species
UACGUAGGGUGCAAGCGUUAAUCGGAAUUACUGGGCGUAAAGCGUGCGCAGGCGGUCUUGCAAGACAGAUGUGAAAUCCCCGGGCUCAACCUGGGAACUGCAUUUGUGACUGCAAGGCUGGAGUGCGGCAGAGGGGGAUGGAAUUCCGCGUGUAGCAGUGAAAUGCGUAGAUAUGUGGAGGAAUACCGAUGGCGAAGGCAGCCCCCUGGGUCGAUACUGACGCUCAUGCACGAAAGCGUGGGGAGCAAACAGG